AGGCGAAAAGAACCCCGGCGAGGGGAGUGAAAAAGAACCUGAAACCGUGUACGUACAAGCAGUGGGAGCACGCUUAGGCGUGUGACUGCGUACCUUUUGUAUAAUGGGUCAGCGACUUAUAUUCUGUAGCAAGGUUAACCGAAUAGGGGAGCCGAAGGGAAACCGAGUCUUAACUGGGCGUUAAGUUGCAGGGUAUAGACCCGAAACCCGGUGAUCUAGCCAUGGGCAGGUUGAAGGUUGGGUAACACUAACUGGAGGACCGAACCGACUAAUGUUGAAAAAUUAGCGGAUGACUUGUGGCUGGGGGUGAAAGGCCAAUCAAACCGGGAGAUAGCUGGUUCUCCCCGAAAGCUAUUUAGGUAGCGCCUCGUGAAUUCAUCUCCGGGGGUAGAGCACUGUUUCGGCAAGGGGGUCAUCCCGACUUACCAACCCGAUGCAAACUGCGAAUACCGGAGAAUGUUAUCACGGGAGACACACGGCGGGUGCUAACGUCCGUCGUGAAGAGGGAAACAACCCAGACCGCCAGCUAAGGUCCCAAAGUCAUGGUUAAGUGGGAAACGAUGUGGGAAGGCCCAGACAGCCAGGAUGUUGGCUUAGAAGCAGCCAUCAUUUAAAGAAAGCGUAAUAGCUCACUGGUCGAGUCGGCCUGCGCGGAAGAUGUAACGGGGCUAAACCAUG
rnacentral:rRNA from 1 species